AGCGAACGCUGGCGGCAUGCUUAACACAUGCAAGCCGCGCGGUCAGCAAUGGCAGCGGCGGACGGGUGAGUAACGCGUAGGAAUGUGUCCAGAGGUGGGGGACAACCCCGGGAAACUGGGGCUAAUACCGCAUAUGUCCUGAGGGACAAAGCAGUAAUGCGCCUUUGGAGCAGCCUGCGUCCGAUUAGGUAGUUGGUGGGGUAAUGGCCUACCAAGCCUGCGAUCGGUAGCUGGUCUGAGAGGACGAUCAGCCACACUGGGACUGAGACACGGCCCAGACUCCUACGGGAGGCAGCAGUGGGGAAUAUUGGACAAUGGGCGAAAGCCUGAUCCAGCAAUGCCGCGUGUGUGAAGAAGGUCUUCGGAUCGUAAAGCACUUUCGGCGGGGACGAUGAUGACGGUACCCGCAGAAGAAGCCCCGGCUAACUUCGUGCCAGCCGCCGCCGUAAAAC
rnacentral:rRNA from 1 species